rnacentral:rRNA from 1 species
GGGGAAUUGUUCGCAAUGGGCGCAAGCCUGACGACGCAACGCCGCGUGGAGGACGAAGAUCUUCGGGUCGUAAACUCCUUUCGAUCGGGACGAAUGGCCGGUGACCUAACACGUCAUCGGAAUGACGGUACCGCGAGAAGAAGCCCCGGCUAACUCCGUGCCAGCAGCCGCGGUAAUACGGGGGGGGCAAGCGUUGUUCGGAAUUACUGGGCGUAAAGGGCGCGUAGGCGGCCUGCUAAGUCACACGUGAAAUCCCCCGGCUCAACCGGGGAACUGCGUGUGAUACUGGCGGGCUUGAAUUCGGGUGAGGGAUGUGGAAUUCCAGGUGUAGCGGUGAAAUGCGUAGAUAUCUGGAGGAACACCGGUGGCGAAGGCGGCAUCCUGGACCGAGAUUGACGCUGAGGCGCGAAAGCUAGGGUAGCAAA